UGUCUGUCUGUGGACGUGCGAUGAUUAUUGUGUGAACGGACAGACACAGGAAAGACAUGAAUCUGAGCAUGAAAUCAUAUAGUGAUCCGGAGCAAGUGGGUGUCUUUCCUCCGGCCGGAUGUGGCACUGGAACACAUGUGUCUGAUUUAGGGGAGGUGGAGGGAGCGCUUGAUCUACGCUCAUCAAACGCAUUGUUUGACUUGGGUGAGGAUGCAGGAAUUUCUGAAGAUCAAGACGACUAUGCAGAGGAACUGCGUCAUUCUGCCAGAGCGAAGCCUUUUCAGUGCUCUCAGUGUGGGAAGGGUUUCUCUCGCAUACAGCAUCUGUCCGAACACGUACGGAUUCACACAGGCGAGAGGCCUUACGAGUGCUCUGUGUGUGGAAAGACUUUCACUCGGGAAAGAAGCCUCAAGACUCAUCAGAUUGUCCAUGCGGAUGCGAAGGCCUUCCACUGCACAAUCUGUGUUAAAAACUUUGCCCUCCUAUCCUCCUUGAGAAGACAUGUGCGGGCAUUUCAUCAAGGUCAUGAUGUCAGUACGGAGGGCAGAUGCUUAAUUUGUGUUGAAUGCGGGAAAAACUUUGCAUGUCAGUUGGAGGAACAUGAGCUGACGCACACUGGAGAGAUUUCUCAUCGCUGCCCUGACUGUGUCAAGAACUUUGCAUAUCUACAGACUCUUGUGUCUCAUGAUCAAACCUUCAACGAACCAGAAGACUUGAACCAUGUGCAGAAUAUUGAAAGGCCUUGCAGUUCUGUGGCCUCUGAAGAUCAACCCAAACACAUGCAAACUGACGCAAUCGAGGAAAAUAGUGACCCGCCCUCUCCAGAGCUUGUAGAAAAUAUUACCAGUGAUGCACUAACUGAUGAACACAUGGGCCAAAGUGAAGAGGAGGCCGAGAGAGCUCCAUCUCCUUCAUAUGUGCUCUCUCACAAGUCUGCUGAAAAGGCCAUUGAAACGACAAGCCUUCUUCAAGAGGAACAGCUCACAGCUCACCAGCAAGUUAACGAUGAAGACAAGCCACACCAAUGCGAUCACUGUGGAAAGAGAUUUAAUAAACAAGCAAAGCUUCGAAUCCAUCUGCGCGUUCACACCGGAGAGAAACCUUACGAGUGCACCCAGUGUGGCAAAUAUUUCAGUCAAGCAAUAAACCUUAGAAAACAUCACCGUACGCAUCAUACGGAGGAGAGACCGUACCACUGCACACUCUGUGACCGCAGGUUUUCUCUCUCGUUUUCCCUGAUAAAGCAUCAACGUGUGGCUCAUCCAGAACAAUUGAGUGUUGCUGAAAGGAAGCGCUUUACUUGUCCUUUCUGUGGAAAAAUAUUUGGGCGGCAUCAAGAUAUGGAGCAGCACAAACGAAUUCACACGGGUGAGAGACCAUUCCGAUGCAAUGUGUGCAACAAAAGCUUUCGGCAACGGUCAGUUUUGAUAGUGCAUCGGAAAAUUCACACCGGAGAAAAGCCUUUCGAAUGUUUCAUAUGCUUCAGACGGUUCUAUGGCUCAGGAGAUCUGAAGACACAUAUGGGGACUCAUACUGGUGUGAGACCACACAGUUGCACCCUGUGCUCUAAAAGCUUCCCUCGUCCCAGCAGCCUUCAAGCACACAUGCAGUCUCAUCUCAACAAGUUGAAAGAAGGUGAUGCUCUAACCACUGGAGCUGAGGAGGACCAGGGAGAACAGGAUGAUAUGGACGGAGUCUCUGGAAGUUCUGCUUCAAUGCUUUCUGAAAACCCCGGAUGUUCUGAAGACAAAAUGAGCACAGAGGAGCCCUCCAGCCAGCUGGCUUGUAUUUUAAAGUCUCACUCUCACCAAAAAGGGCCUGAGACUGGAUUUGAUCCUUUAAUGAAUCAAGUCCAUGAUGUUGAUCAGAGUUUCAGUUCAGCACUAGCAGAUCAUCAGAAGCCAUUCCAUUGUACCAUAUGCAACAAAACCUUCUCUCUCUCACUAUCCCUGAAAAAACAUCAGCUUAUAUUUCAUCCAGAUCAGCAUGCUGACACAGAAGGGAAGUGCUUCCCCUGCUCUUAUUGCGGGAGGAAGUUUGGCCGGCGUCAGGGCUUGUUACAGCAUGAGCGCAUUCACACAGGUGAAAGGCCCUACAACUGCCCCACCUGUAACAAAAGCUUCCGGCAGCGAUCAGCUUUGGUUGUGCACAUUAAAACUCACACAGGAGAAAGGUCCUUCCUGUGCUUUGUGUGCAGCAAAAGCUUUUAUACCCCGGGAGACUUGAAGAAACAUCUGGAAAUUCAUACCGGAGUGCGGCCACACAACUGCCCGAUAUGCUUCAAGGGUUUCGGGCGCCCCAGUUUCUUGCGAGCUCACAUGCGAAUCCAUGAAAAAGCCACCACAAAGACCUCUACAAAGAAACAGGAAAGUGGAGCGGAGGAACCAACAGACAGUCCAAAAGAUGACGUGCAAGAGAAGCCGUUUGAAUGCUCUCAUUGCGGCAAGAGAUUCAGUCAGCAUUGUAUGCUUAAAAUCCACCAGCGGAUUCACACAGGAGAGAGACCUUACAAGUGCUCUGAGUGCGGUCUGAGUUUUCGCUGGAGGAGAAACCUGAUAGCCCACCAGAGUGGCCACCCUGGUGACAAGCCUCUCCAGUGUUCAAUGUGUGAUGAAACAUUCCUCUCGGAAGCAAGUAUGAAGAAACAUCAAGAUUCGUUUCAUUCAGGGGUCUCUCAUACCUGCAGUCUGUGUCUGAAGACGUUUACUCAAGCAGCCGGCCUCAGGAAACACGUGCGAUAUGUUCACGAGAGAGAGAGACCUCACAAAUGCUCAGAGUGCGGCAGAGGAUUCGUCAAACUUUCAGACCUUUUGCGUCAUCAGCGUCGCCAUCAUUACGACAGGGGUGACGAACUCUUUCAGUGCUCGCAGUGCGAGCGAAGCUUCAGUCAUCCCAGCAGUCUCGUUCUCCACCGACGAACUCACUCAGAAGGAAAACACGAGUGUCCUAAAUGUAAUAAGAUAUUCAGUCAGCCGGGACACCUCAAGGUUCACCUGCGUACUCACACCAAAGAGAAUAAACCUAAGUUUGAGUGCCCUGAAUGUGGGAAGAGUUUUGGCCAAGCCAAAGAUUUGGUGGUUCAUCAGAGGGUGCACACCGGAGAGAAACCUUACCAGUGCCCUCAGUGCAAGAAGACUUACAGACAGUUUGCACAUCUGUCCGUACAUCUGCGGAGUCACACGGGGGAGAAGCCUUACCAAUGCCCAGUAUGUCUCAAAUUCUUCGCACAUUCGUCAUCCAUGAAAAAACACUUGCGUGUAAUGCAUGCAGCGGGGAAGGAGUCCCCAGUAACAAAGGAAGUUGUGAAAGUGACUGUUGGUGUUGGUACAUCCAGCUCAGCUGUAGAAGUCAAGCAAGAACCAGAGUCUCUUAAUGAAUAUGAAUGUCAAGUCAAAUCGGAAGAAAACUGCUUUGCCAUAAUGGAUGAUGUGAACGCUGUUACAGUUUCUUCAGCUCCAUCCAGUCCAGUAUCAGCAUUGACUUUUAAAGAUGAUCCAUGUUAAAAAUGAAUGAAUGAGAAUGGAAAAAUGGGUUUGGUCUCACCUUGUCAAACAAUCUAACAAGGACAAUUUCAUCCUAACCGGACUCUAGAGAGAAGUCUGUAUAUUUGAAGACUCCACAUCACUGCAUUCAGUAUGUUUUAGUAAAACUAAGAACCACACAACACAAUGUUUUGUUCACAUCGUGGAAAAGCCAGUGUUUUCAGUGUGAGCAAAGUUUCAGUGAAGCUGGAGACCUUACUUAUCUGAUUCUCAUGGAAAACAAUCACCAUCAUUACUCUGAGAAGUUUCCAGUGAGGGAGGCCUCAAACAUGACUAGCAUGCUCAUUUUGAGAAUUUGUAGAGAUAUACAUAAACUUCAGCCAAUUACAAGAUCUUCACAUUUAUUCUGGAGAGAAAGUCUUAACUGUUGACCUACUCUGAGAAGAGCUUCUGUCAUGGAGGGCACCUUAAACUACAGCAGAUCUUUCCAGCAAACGGACUGAGGUAAUACCAAAGAGAUGCACAAGACCAACCACUGUGUCCAAGUAAAACUUGUUAGUGGUGUUUGCUAAGGCAGUCAUCGCUUACUAUUGCUCACACUUAGGGUUCUGACUUUGUGCAAUCCCUUAACCCCAAGUAUUAAGCUUUGGCAUUGAACUCGUCACACACCGAAAUGACAGUUUCACCUGGUGGAAGAUAAAAUGGGUGACAAAAUCCCUACAGUGAAAGAGGGACUCGAGCCAUAUCAAGGGGCCAGGAAUUACAGCAUCAUUGCAGCCCCACUCACGUCGUUGCUCAAGGGAAAGCCCAAUAAAUUGCCUUGGAACGAUGCUGCAUACCAGCAUCCUGACCCCAAUCUUCCCCUCGUCGUUGAGGGAGAUGCUUCAGAUUGCGGGAUUGGAGCGGUCCUGUCACAACGUCAUGGAACACCAGGCAAGCUUUACUCUUGUGCCUUUUUCUCCAGAAAAUUUAACUCUGCAGAAUGUUACUAUGAUGUGAGAAAUAAGGAAUUACUUUCCAUGAAAGCAGCCCUCGAAGAAUGGCGUCACUGGUUAGAGGAGGCAGUCCACCCUUUCCAGGUUAUCACAGAUCACAAAAAUCUUGAAUAUAUCAAGGCAGCCAAGAGAUUGAACCCACGUCAAGCCCGAUGGUCAUUGUUUUUCACCAGAUUCAAUUUUACAGUCACUUACCACCCUGGCAGCAAGAACAGCAAGGCAGAUGCACUUUCACGCAGACAUGAUCCACCCUACCUCCAACCUCACCCUGGGUCCAUUCUGCCACCAUCUGUCAUCAUAGCACCGAUUAGUUGGGACAUCAUGGAGGAGAUACAACGAGCACAACAGCAUGAACCGUCACCUCCUAACUGCCCCCCGACCAAGCACUACGUACCCCAAGCUCUACGUCAGAGGACUAUCCAAUGAGUCCACACUUCCUUGAGCACUGGACAUCCAAUCAUCCAAAGAACUGUUACCCUGGUGCAUAAUUCAUUCUGGUGGCCAACUUUGAUUCAUGAUGUAACUAACUAUGUAAAGUCUUGUCAGGUGUGUGCCCAAUCCAAGACACUCAGAGAACUGCCCACAGGGUUGCUUCAACCACUGCCAAUACCACAAAGACCAUGGUCCCACUUGUCCAUCGACUUCGUCACAGACCUGCCAAACUCCCAUGGUAACACUACCAUUCUGGUAAUAAUAGAUCGAUUUUCUAAAUCAUGUAGACUUGUCCCUCUCAAGGGUUUACCCACUGCCAUGGAAACCGCUAAUGCUUUGUUCCACCAAGUCUUUAGGGCCUAUGGAAUACCAGAGGACAUCGUGUCUGACAGAGGUCCACAGUUCAUGUCCCGAGUUUGGCAGGCUUUCUGCAAACAACUGGAUAGCAACGUGAGUCUCACCUCUGGUUACCAACCUCUGGCCAAUGGACAGGUGGAACGUCUAAACCAAGAGAUAGCAGAUAUCUUCGGAGUUAUUGUAGCUGUGAACAAGAGAAGUGGAGCGAUUUCCUGCCCUGGGCCGAAUAUGCACAGAAUUCCCUCACUCAUACCUCUACGGGUCUAACCCCCUUCCAAUGAGUGCUGGGCUACCAACCCCCAAUGUUUCCUUGGUCAGGAAAACCUUCUACGGUGCCAGCGGUGGACGAUUGGAUUAAGCGAAGCGAGAGGGUGUGGGACAGCGCACAUGUCCGGCUACAGCGAGCGGUCAGAGCACAACGCUUCCAGGCUGACCAACGGAGGCUCCCCCAUCCCAACUAUCACCCAGGACAGAGAGUAUGGUUGUCCACAAGGGAUCUCAAGUUGCAGCUACCCUGCAGGAAGCUCAGUCCAAGGUAUGUGGGUCCUUGCAGAAUUAUCCGUCAAAUAAACCCAGUUACUUACUGUUUAGAGCUUCCUGCUAAUUACCACAUUUCUCCUUCCUUCCAUGUGUCCUUGCUGAAACCCGUCCACCCGGCGUCUGGCUCUGGAACCACGGAUUCUGAGCCUCCACCUCCACUGGAGGUAGAUGGAGUACCAGCGUAUAUGGUCAGAGAGAUCUUGGACUCAAGACGACGAGGGAGCCAGAUGCAAUACUUGGUGGACUGGGAGGGCUACGGACCAGAGGAGAGAUCAUGGGUAGCCACCAAGGACAUAUUAAACCCAUCCCUGAUCCAAGAAUUUCAUCAUGCCCAUCCUAAUCGUCCAGCACCACGACCAAGGUUGUUACCCCUCCAACCAACCACCAGAGGAAGCCCUCUCCCGAAUACUAACUCUGUACCAUUUCUUCUUUGGUGACUUGAUGUUUAAACUAUAUAAAUACCAUGCUGUUCCAUUCUGACUUUGCAAAGUAUUGCCAGUUUACCCUGCGUUACCAAGCGUUUUUCCAUUGCCAUUGCUGAUUGUUCUCUUGUUAUGACCAUUGCCUGUUUUCCUGGAUUUACUGCCUUUGGAUACCCCUUUGUUUUGUUUGCCUUGUUGGACUGUCUUUUUGGUUUACUGGAUUAUACUGCCUGCUUAACCACUACCUCUAUUUGCCUGCCGAUUUGGAUUGUUUGAUUGUGUACUUUAAUAAACUUCCUGCACAUGGAUCCUAA